ensembl:lncRNA
AGAUCCCUGUGUACCUGAGGCCUUCUAAAGAACGUCAGUAGAAUGUUGGCAAAUCAGGAAGCUGGAGAGAGGUGUACUGGGUUCUGCUUUCUUCUGUGGCAUUGAUUCAUGGUGGACUUCCACCCGACAUACCUGGAGCCAUGUGCAGCCAUAACCACUGCAUAACAGCUACAUAGGUGAAACUGCACUGAAAAAAUAUCAAGUGGAAAAUUAACCUCAUAUAAACAACCAUGCUAGGAAUAAAAAUAAAAAUAUUAAAUGCUCUGCAUGUACAGAAAGGCAGCUUGGAUACUGGCCUGCACCAUUCAGUAUUCUCAGCAAAGACUAAUGUUGCAUUACAAUGAACGUCACUUUAAUGAGGCAGAAAAAAUUGGUCCGAAGACAGCCUGCUGAAUUCAAUCACCUGCUUCACUUGACAUGAGAAACUAGUCACAGGACAUGCCAUACACAGCCCCAGCAGUGACAGUGCUCCCUGUAACAAUAUGAAGUUGCAAAAGAUUUCAACCUGUG